rnacentral:rRNA from 1 species
AUUGAACGCUGGCGGCAGGCCUAACACAUGCAAGUCGAGCGAGCGGCGGACGGGUGCGUAAUGUAUGGGGAUCUGCCUGAUAGAGGGGGAUAACUACUGGAAACGGUGGCUAAUACCGCAUACUAUCGUAUGUACCCAUAUGGGAUUAGCUAGUAGGUGGGGUAAAGGCUCACCUAGGCGACGAUCUCUAGCUGGUCUGAGAGGAGGAUCAGCCACACGUGGACUGCGACAGUGCCCAGACUCCCACGGGAGGCAGCAGUGGGGAAUAUUGCACAAUGGGCGCAAGCCUGAUGCAGCCAUGCCGCGUGUAUGAAGAAGGCCUUAGGGUUGUAAAGUACUUUCAGCGGGGAGUCGUUACCCGCAGAAGAAGCACGGGCUAACUCCGGGCCAGCAGCCGCGGGAAUUC